rnacentral:lncRNA from 7 species
AGUUUGUUCACCUUUGUUUUGCUUUCAUUAGUUACAUCUUCCUGUGUUUGCAAACAACAGAUAAGGAACCUAAUAGCAUUGUGCAUAUAUUAAGCACUAAUUUUAUUCAUCUGGGAGUAUUUAUUCACUCUUUCUUCUAGGUAAGGACAGAGUGUGUAUUUGAAUCAUUUUUAUUUUAGUCCCCUAGACUAAUAACAUUAGGUAAUUGCAAUUACUAACUUAAGCAAAUCUCUAGGCAGGCCAAGAAAAGUCUAGCUAACGGCCAACGUCAUGAGGUGCAUGUUAUCAUCAAACCCAUAGCCCACUAAAAGCAAUGGCAAGACUGUAUUUACAGUACCAUGAGACUAAAUGGUCAAAUAACUCACAUAUCAUACAUAUAUACUGCAUAUAUGUAAUUCCUUUUGUGGAUUUUUUUUUGUAUGACCUGCAUUAGUAUUUGUGGAAUGUUACAUUUAAAUAAAUAUUAAUCCUGUGUUCUUUGUUGCUGUUUUUAAUGCUUUUUCUCCUCUGGGAGUUGUGUAGUGCAACAUGAGGACCCUUGCAGAUUAGCCUAUGUAUAAAGGAUUUACAAGAAAAUGAUUCAUGAAAGAGUACGUGCUUCUCAAACAGUGGAUGUCAAAGGAUCAACUUACAUGACAGCACGAGUAAAUCGCAGUAUUGCUUCAUAUUGCUGAUCAAAGAUGUCAGAUAAUUUGUUUCAACAUUGAUUAUUUCAGUAUUUCUGCAGCUGCUGUAGUCUGAAAUGCCAUGUGCAAUCAACAAAGCAUUAUUUAUCUACGAACUCCAAGUUUCAUCUAAUUAUCUACCAGCCUAUUUUGAAUAGUUAAAAAGAAGCUAUUUCUAUGCUUGAAAAGAAUUGAUUUAUGCUUUCAAUUAAAAAUAAUUAUUUC